UUAGUGUUUAUUCAUAUCAAACCAUACCUUCUAGACUUUUAUUUAUCAAACCCAUAUGUGUCAGGACCUACCCCAAAUUUCACCCUGAAACCCGAAGUAAAUCCUGCGGGGACCACCUCGAAUGAAAGUUUACCGAAAAUUCAACAUAACCUCUCUUGAAAAUGGACAACCUUUCCUAAUAAUACCUGCAAACACUUCUGAAAAUCUAAAUCCAACUUUCAACUUCUGGAGCCUUCGUGCUCCCCAAAUCACAACACCUCCCAACUUAUUCAUUAAUCUAAAUAUAAUCUUAAAUCAAACAAUUCAUUGGUUCAGAGCAACUCUAAAAGGAAUAAAAGAGACAGAAACACAAAUAAGCGAAAGCUAUAAUACGAACUAUGUCUUGACUCCAAGUACGUUCGACCUCAACUAAGCUAACCUGCAAGCUGGGUAUUUUUAAAACGAAAGGCCCAAGGGAAAACAUUUGAAACCGUUAGUGAGUGGACAAAACUGAAUUCAAUAAAAAUAUUUAUGCAUUCCUAUUUAUUUUCCAUAGAAAUUAUGCUGCAUGCAACAAGCUCAAAAUCUCUCAACUNNNNNNNNNNNNNNNNNNNNUAUAGGGCUACUACGCUCGCGUCCAACGCUCACGUCACGCCUUAAUGCGGUGCUACACUACGCCAUUAAGGUGGACAGACGGGUGUAUAAAUAUGUGUCCAUACCCCCUAUAUGAAUUAAGCACUCAUAUAAGGCUACUACGCUCACGUCCAACGCUCACGUCACACCAUAAUGCGGCUAUAUGCUACGCCAUUAAGGUGGACAGACACAUAUGGCUAGCUAGCAUUUAUAUACAUACUCUCCUCAUCAAUAUAUAAUUAUAUUCACCGAAAAUCCUAUUUUCGGUAAUUCUUUAAAAGAAAUAAAAUUGUCAAAAUAAAAUGACGUCAAAUGCUCGAACAAAACAAAUUGCUUAAAAAUCAAUCAUUGCAUGCAUAUUAUUUAAAACAAAAGUCCACUCACAGUAUCAGGCCUUAGCCUUCCAAUGCUCGUAAUACUUCUCGAGCGCUGCCUCCAACUAUUCACACUCUCUAACCAACGUCUGACGAUAAACAGAAGAAUAAAUUGGUCAGAUCGGACUCCAUAAUAAUCAUCGAUUCAACUUCUUCCUAGUUUGGCUAGGUUUCCUGGGUUGACCAGGAUUGACCAAGUUUGACCAAUUGAUUUAGGGUAGGCCAACUAAUGAAGUUUGGACAUUUCCAAAUUAACCUUUGACUUAACGAUCCGAGACAAAUCACCAAAUAUUCUACUAACCGUUACACACUUGGCGUUAUUUAAAUAAUUCAUGAAACACCAAUGCUCCCCAACUUUUACGCUUAAAAGAUCAUUUGCAACCUUCAGAAUCGAUUAACCAAACUAGUGUAAAUUCAAAGACUCAAAUAUACGGAACUCAUUAAUCCGGAAAACCACUAAAUUAUUAAGGGCACCCAAAAAGGGUUUUCCAUAAAUGGGAUGUUUCCAUAAAAGGAACUUUCCUAACUUAGCAAGUUUUCCAAUUAUACUCCGAACUUUCCUAUUUAGGAACCACAACUUGAAAUUAGAAUGAAUGGCCUUGAAAACUACCUCUUCGGCUGUUGUCGGAAAAACUGCAUUCGCCGGAAUCUCUCGCCGGAUUCCGGCAACUUGUCAGAAUUUCACCAUAGCUUCCCCGUAAACUCUGAAUCACCAAGUUAUCGACAACAACAACCAAAACAUUCAUAUUAGCAAUCAAACUCCAAUUUUCUCAAACCAUAAUCAACACAGCAGCAACCCAAACAACUCUAUAUGCAAGAAGAUUACCUUCAGAAGACAACAAAGCUUCUCUUGCCGGCGGUAGCUCUCUUGCCGGAUUCUGGGUUCGUGGUUCCUCCCACAGAGCAGCGGCAACACCUCAAGUCUUCACAACCAAUCGUCUUGGCCUGUUGCUGCUUAGCAGGUCGUUAGGAAAGAGACAAGAGGUACCAUGAAGCCUCAUCAGCUCCAGCAAAACCCGAAACACUUGCCGGAAACCAUUAAACGUUGGCCGUCGGAGCUAGGAGCUCGAAACUCAGAAAAGAGAAGAAAGGGGUUUCCAAAUUAGGGUCUGAUUCGCACAUUCAAGGACGUAGAAAGGAAGUGGAAAGUGAGAAGAACAAGAAUAUACCCUUCAAAGUCGUCGUCCCUGCCGGAGCUCGCCGAAAAUCGGCAACAACAGUGAAGCACCCAAGCUUUCGAUCUCCAUCGAUCUUGGUUGCACGCGUGAUCUACGAGCUGGGCUAGAAAGGAAAGGAGGAGAGGAAGAGAACGACGGUGAUCUCUUCGCCUGGGGUGGCCGGAUGGCGGCGCUCCGGCGUAGAGAGAGAGAGAGAGAGAGAGAGAGAGAGAGAGAGAGAGAGAGAGAGAGAGAGAGAGAGAGAGAGAGAGAGAGAGAGAGAGAGACUCGGUUAGGCUCGGUCAAACCCGACUUGGGUUCUUUGACCGGGUCUGACCAGUCUUCCUCUGUUUACCAUCUUCCUCUAAUUAACUACAGAAAUGGACAGCAGAUGAUCGAUGAUUAAAGAUCAACGACCCAUAUUCUUUGAUAAAUCGUAGAAAAUAGCCCAAAGCUCCCAAAAAUAAUCCGUGGACAUCAGAGAACUCGUAUCGACGUGCACUACGACCUAGGAGCCUUAAAAGAAGAAUUAAACAUUUUGAGAAAAACUCGACAAUAAACUCGAGUGUUAAAUUACUAAAUUACUGAGCAUCGUUCAAUUCCUUAGUAACUCAUGGAAUAGCUAGUAAAUAGGUAAAAUUGGGUCCGGGAUGUUACAAUAUGGCUCUUAAAUGAGUAUUUUGCUCCUAGACUACCUCUCUGUGAGGGUUCAGUCACAGAAAACGCUAUCUCUUGAGCAUUGUUAACAUCAUUACCAUCUGUACUGGUUUUUAUACCUUACCUGGUCGGUGAAAAAUACUUUUUGCUGUUAUCUUUAUCAUGAGAAGCAACAGGGACUCGAGGAGUCCUUUUUUUAACAGCAUGAGGCCUGAUUCCUGAAAACAGUUUUUAGGUGGCGUAUGACACCCCACAUAAUGAGAUUGCAGCCGAAAAAGUCGUAAGUGUGUUUUUAUGUGUUUGCUUAUUCUUUUACUUCAUUUAUAUGACACUUAUGGUACUGGACACUGCUUGCUUUCAGUUAUUGUUGGUGUGUGUUGCUUUGUGUUUAUAUGUUGUUCUGUUUUGCAACACUUGGAUGUUGUUAUGAGUUGAUGAAAUCUCAUAUGUUUCAGCUAAGUGUUGCUGUGUUGACGUGUGUUGUUGAGUGUGUAGCAUGUAUCAUAUAUAUGUUUCAUUAGAUGCAGCAUGCCUAUUAACUCCUUCAACUUGUUGUUUUCUGAAAUUGUUGUGUUUCACAUAUUGCUGCUGUGUUUUAGUAAUUGUUGUGUGUUUUGCUGUGUUGUUUGAAUUGUUUUUUGUCAUUGCAGAACGAUAUGAGACAGAAGAUCCUAACAAUGCUAAGCGAACAACAGCCGAACACUCCAGAGGAUGAGCUCCUUCAACAAGUAGACCUCCAAUCUUAGCUAGCUUGAAGCAUUUGAGAAGCUCCUUGGGGACCGGGGGGGGGGGGGGGGGGUGGGGAAGGGGCUUGGGAGAGUUGAAAUUAUGGGCAAGGAAAAAGCAGCAAGGCGUUCGCGUCUCAAUGAUAUAGUUCUUGAGGAGGUUCGGGAGCAUGCCCGACAAGCCCAAGAGGAAGUACGACAUGCUCAAGAGGAGGCACAACAAGCCCGGGAGCAGGCCAAAGUAGCCCAAGAGAAGAUCCUUGAUUAUGAGCGCCGUAUACAAAUGUUGGAGAAGUUUGGGCAGUCGCAGCCGAGCGGACAAGAAGGCCAACAUCUUGAGGUUGAUGCUUGAACUAGGUCCAUGGUUUUUUGUUUUUGUGAAACCCUUGAUAUUUGCCUCUUCUUUUGUUAAACAUUGUCUAUAUAGGACUAUUAGAGGCUAGGGUAUUAGGAGGGUUUAAACUAUGAACUUUGAACUUGCUUUUUUAUUUGUGCAUAUAUACCUUUUGCAAGUUUAGUAUUUUUUGAGUUUAAACUUCUUUUGUUAUGAUUUUGAUUUGCACCAGGUUUUUAACUUUGAAUGUGAACUUGAAAAUAUGCACACAUAAUUACUGUGUGCAUAUCAAUGAUAUAAUUAGAUUUUUUUUUAAUAAUAUAUAAUUAUAAUUUAAAAGCAUAUAUAUAAAAUGUUGAAUUAAGACUUAUGCGGCGAAAAAUGAGAAACCGUCGUUGGGGUUGAAUCCUCGUCUUAAACAUAGCGACGAUUAAUAAAUUGUCACAUAAAAGGAAACUCAGGCGACUAUAAUUUCCUUUCUUCACCAAUUGUUGGUGACAAUAAUUUCAACGCUUAAAUGUGUCAGUGUUCCUCACCUUAGACUUAUGCGAUGAUUAAUAUAUAGUUGCCUAAGUAUUCAUUUAGGCGACCAUUUUAUUGUUUUCGUCGCCUAAGUUCUUAUGGGUCCAUGCUGAAGCGACGAUUGUUAGGCGACGAAUCUUUCGUCGCCUGAGAACUUAGGCGACGAAAAUGAGCAUUUAGGUCUUUUAUUCUAGUAGUAAUUAUUCUACCAUGAGAAAAUGGUGAAAAAGAAAAUGAGUGACUAAUGUUAUGCAUAACUGAUUUAGAGAUCGAAAACUUAAAAUUCAUAUGACUGUGUUUUAUAUGGUGUUGUAGGUGAAUGGUUAACUAAUUCUGACUAGGUUUUAAGUUAAUUUUUUUUCAUAUAAAUGUAUUUUUUCGUAAUUUAAUGUACAUAAAAUAUUUAAGAUUGAGUGUAUAAAAAAAAGAUGUGUAUUUUUUUUUUUAACUCAAAGACAAUUUUGUCAUUAGUACUAAAGUAGAGGGUACAAUACGAAUCGAUCCGUUGCCAUGUGUACAAAAGGACAAACAAGAUCAUCUGAUUCAUAUGAGGGUUGUAUCCUCAUUACAAAUUUCGGCUCACAAAGAGCCUAUAUAUAAUCUAAUAGAAAAUAGAUCAUAGGUUAAGAUCCCACCUAGAAAACUAGAAAAAGACUAAAAGAAAGAUAGACUUAUAACGCCAAGACGCCAUGUGGCACAAAAAGUACUUAAGCACAAAAAUUCUUAGAGUCCUAAUUAAUGAAAGGAACUUAUUGUUCUAGGAAACCAUAAAUUAACUAAAAAAAGCAUCUCAAAGCCCAAAACCUAAAAUAGUUGACCUAGCCCAACUUUCUUUCACAGUUGCAGAAAUGACAUAAAAGAGGAACACCGUAGCCGUUGCCGCCGUGAGAUGAAUUAAGUUGCCUUCGUGAGACAUCGCCGCUGUGGGACGCCGCCACCUUGUUCCACGCAGCCACAAGCACACCCCAAGGAGAAGAAACUUCAUCGUCACAACGAACUUGGAGGCCAAACAACAUCUCCACCAAACCAAAACUCCUCCUAUGAAUAGACAAGGACGGAGAUGGAAUCAGGAAGCUGAAACCAGAUCUGCUCCUUGAGUCCAUGAUGCCAUACCUCCAACCUGAUCUAAAAAGCCACGCUGAUCAAAAACUGUUAAGAACCUCUGGGCAAUUACCUCUCAAAGCAUUUGAUUGUUGACAUAUCCUUCAUCCGGCAACAAAGUCGUACAGCUUCAGCAGAUUUAGAGACCCGCCUAACGUUAAACCGUCGCCGGAUGAGGGUGGAAUUUCGUGGUUAGCGGCCGACUUAGAGAGAGAGAGAGAGAGAGAGAGAGAGAGAGAGAGAGAGAGAGAGAGAGAGAGAGAGAGAGAGAGAGAGAGAGAGAGAGAGNNNNNNNNNNNNNNNNNNNNAAAUAAAUGGAAGAGUAUUUAUUCAUGUCAUACUCUUCCGUUGGUUUUGGUUACACGCACAAAGCUUUUGAGUUCAAUUACAACUCUUGCAAGAAGGUGCUUGGAUAAGAACAAAUCAGUACGAGCACCAGAGUUUGAUUGUAAUUCAAUUAUCCUAACCAAGCACUCUAUAUAAAAGAGGCCAAUACCUCCACAAAAAGGGGAGGAAAAGAGAGAAAAAGGAGGAAGAAAAAGAAGAGGAGAAAAGGCAGGAAGAAAAAGAAGAGGAGAAAAGGCCAACAGAAGGAGCAGGGAGAACAACACAGAAGGAAAACGGCACAUUUCCAAAUUAACCUUUGACUUAACGAUCCGAGACAAAUCACCAAAUAUUCUACUAACCGUUACACACUUGGCGUUAUUUAAAUAAUUCAUGAAACACCAAUGCUUCCCAACUUUUACGCUUAAAAGAUCGUUUGCAACCUUCAGAAUCGAUUAACCAAACUAGUGUAAAUUCAAAGACUCAAAUAUACGGAACUCAUUAAUCCGGAAAACCACUAAAUUACUAAGGGCACCCAAAAAGGGUUUUCUAUAAAUGAGAUGUUUCCAUAAAAGGAACUUUCCUAACUUAGCAAGUUUUCCAAUUAUACUCCGAACUUUCCUAUUUAGGAACCACAACUUGAAAUUAGAAUGAAUGGCCUUGAAAACUACCUCUUCGGCUGUUGCCGGAAAAACUGCAUUCGCUGGAAUCUCUCGCCGGAUUCCGGCAACUUGUCAGAAUUUCACCAUAGCUUCCUCGUAAACUCUGAAUCACCAAGUUAUCGACAACAACAACCAAAACAUUAAUAUUUGUAAUAUCCCACAUCGGCCAAACGGAGAGGGGUUAUGUGCUGUAUAUGUACAUGCUCACCUCCAAUCUAAUACGAGGCCUUUUGGUGGUUCAGCGGCUUCGGAGGGGAUGGGUACUUCGAGGUUAAGCAUGUUGAUGCUAGAGCAAUCCCAGGAUGGGUGACCUACUAGGAAGCUGCUCCUGAGCUGUCGGAAACAAAACCGUGAGGGCCGGUGGGCUCAAAGCGGACAAUAUCGUGUUACGGCGGAAUGGGUCCUGGGAUGUGACAAAUGGUAUCAGAGCCACUCUGUCGUGUGGUGCNNNNNNNNNNNNNNNNNNNNAAAAAGAUGUGUAUUUAAUACUUGGAGAUGUGUGAAUAAAAUAUCUCUAUAACAUUUGAGUUGUUAUGAUAAAAAAAAAGAUAAAAAAAGAAAGGUUAAUUGACCAUAAAUUUGGUUUAUGUAGCAUAAAUACCCGAAUUAUUUUAGAGCAGAGAAGAGAAGAUUUCUUCCCUAAAUAGUUAGAUUUAUUUUUUUAAUGUGAAUUUAAUAGCCCACAGUUAUUUGACAAUGCUGCAUUCAAAAUGACACUCUAUUUAUUAUUUGUCAUUAAUUUGUCAUUCCUUUUUUUCUUUUAUAUAUAUAUGUUUCCAAAGGGAAUGAUUGGACUAGGUUCUCUUUCAUGGAGGAUAUUGCAACCGCCAGUGUUUCAUCUUUAAAACGAAACACGAGGGUUCUCACGUUGGUAUGUUUCAUUACAAUUUACGUGUGUAACGGUAGUUUGUAUAAGCAUAUCAAAAUGAACUACGUACAUGCAAGUAUGCAACUACUCAAAUCUAUUUUAUAAAAAUCUCAUAAGGCAAAUUUUACAGUGCUACAAGUUAAAUCAACAAAACCAAUCAGGCAAUCCAUAUCCCUCAGAAUUGACUAAAAACUGGGUAUUCUAAUAUCUAUCGAUUCAAGUAAUUAUUCCUCGUACAAAACUACCCCAGUCAACAAUGAAUUACAUGAUAAAAUUAAUUUUCUAAAUUAGCUAAUUAAUACGGUAAUUGUCUGCUUUGUUGAGCCUUCUCUCUGUCGUAUCUUUUACACCACAUCGGAUGGGCAUUCACCAGGUACUUUUUCAGGUCCUUGCCCUGAAGGACCAUCGCCGGCAUGAGUACUGAUCGGAACACAACCUUUCCGAAUAGUGGUGGCUCCCCAGCUGGCCGAUGUAUGUAGACUCUCUCCACACAGUUAGGGCCAAAUUUCCUGUACAUUAUUAUUAGAUAUAAACUUUGUAAUAUUAGACAAGAGAUAUGAUGAUCGACUGGUGAGUUACAUAAAUGAUUAUAGAUAUACAAAUUGAAUUAAAAGUUACAUUUCGUAUAAAUUAACACAAAUGCAAACUUACCGAUUAAAAAACUCUAUGAUGCUGAGUUCCUCAAUAGGAUAGCCGUUGGAGAAUGUGAGGAAGCAACACCUAUCCUCCUCCGGCGCCCGGUUAAUCUUAGGGUCAAAUGCCGGUGCAUUCGGGUUCAGUCGAAAACGACUUGCUGAUGGUCCAGCCCCGAGUAUGCCUGCACCCCCAUGAUUUGGUUUCAUGGUCGAAUAGAGAGAGACUAAACAAGGAAUCCGAAACAAAUAGUGAGAAAGAAAGUGGAGAUGGAGCAAGAUCUCAGGUAUAUGGAAAGAGAUCGAUCUAGAGAGCAAGAGAGAUAGACAGAGACUGUGAAUCCCUUUAGUCUCGAUCGAAGAGAGAGUGUUCUAAGUGCUUGUUGGGUGUGAGAGAAAUGAGGGGGUCAAGAUUAGGUUAUAUAUCUUGUUCAGCCAAUGACAGUCGAGGGUUUAUAUGGAAAUUAGUGAAUGGUUUUAAUAGUUAAGGUUCAAGCUGAAAUUCUGAGAUGGAAGAGAGGUGUGUUUCCACGAGGUUGGAGAAUCAGAAAGGUAUGAGUUGUUUAGAAUUGGUUGGACUAGACUUCAAAGGGUUCUAAAUGACAUUUUCGUUAGUGUUUUUUCAGAGAAUUUUGUGUGCUUGUAUGUGGGUGCAGUGAUUAAGCAAAUAAAUUAGCUAGGUUGGGUUUGUGAUUCAAACAUGUGGUUAGAAGCGGACUCUUGUUUUAUUCUCAAUUUUCUCAACUCUUUCAAAUUUAGUGUCAUGACAAUUACGGAUCGAUACAAGUAAUUGUUUGUCCCGUAUCUUCCAAAUACAUUUCCUGUCCUAGCCAUAUUUUUUGGGAAGGAAACUAAGGUGCAUAUAUUUUUGCCAAAUUAGUUCUUUGUUCAGAAAGUUUGGUUUCGUCAAAUUUGCAUCCUGAUUUGUUUUUGUCAUUCUGUAUAGGGAUCAUUUUCUUCUCAAUUUCGUUUUUAUUGUUGGUUUUUUAUUUAGCUUUAUUUUUUUUUUUCAUGUCUUAGGUAAGGUUUCAAUUCACAAUGGUAAAUUAGAAGAGUAAACAAAAAUUAGUAUUAGGGUGUUACCUGUUUAAUUUGAAUGGAGUGGUACCUUACCUGAACUGUCAUAAAUAAUUAAUCACUAAUUCUUCUAAAAAAAGCCCUACAAUUAAUUGUUCAGACAAAAUUUGGAUAAUAUGUAAUUCAAGUUCUUACUCUUUAAGACAGAUGUGAUUCAUGCAAAUUUUAAUGAGUUGUAAACCAUUUUGGCAAUUCGCUAGCAUUCAACAAUGUCCUGGUUGCCAUUAAAUUCGAGUUUCCAAAUCUGUGAAAAACUAACCUCUUUAAUGUUGAUUUAAAAAUAGGGCAGGUGAAUUGAAUUUUAUAUAUAUAAGAAUUCAAUUAAUCCUCAUAAUUGCCUCAUUACAAAUUUUUAAGAAAUUAUCAUGUCAAAAAUUUUCAAUAUGAGGGCCAACAAAUUAAGUCUGGUGAAUUUCAAUUCCCAUAUACAGCUCUAAUAACAAAAAAAAAGAAAAAGAAAAGAAUAAUGUUCAUAAUUUUCUCUUAAAGUUUCAAAUUUUAAUAAACAGUUCCAACCAAAAUUGGAAUAUACAGUUCUAAAACAAAAGUGGUAAAAUAUUUAGAAUUUUUGCUAAAAAAUUCAAAAUUUAAAAAACAAUUCCAAAGCAAAACCAAUAGAAAAGAAUAACACACAUAUCAUGUGUGCUCUUCAUUCUGGAACAAAUAUUGCUAAAAAGAAGUAACAAUACUUCAUUAGCGGUUUCAAACAAAUAACAUUGGACUGUACGUGUUUCUAACGGAUACUUUGGCCAUCCCAAAACAUGCUUGCUAUUUAUCUUAUCUUGCUUCUAAAUUAACUAGUUUUAUCCUCAAAAUUGGUUAAAAUUAAUGUAUCCAAUAAAUAUAAGAGUUUUCAAUUUUUUUUAGGGUAUGUAUGAGGUGUUUUGGAAAUUUGGUGAGGGAGAAAUUAAGUUACUUUUAUCCAAAUUUUCGAAAGAGUUUAUCACUUGCUAUUGUCCAAAUUUCCGAAAGAGUUUAUCCUCUACAUGUACAAAGACAUUCAUUUUAAUUUUAAAACAUAUAUAUUGUCUUAGGUCAUAGGUUCGAAGCUCAUUUGUAUAGGUAAGGUGAGUAUACUCAAUUAUUUUUCACGCAAACACACAUACACACACUGAUAUCAACCAAUGGCAGGUUCGAUUUUCAAUGGUCCGACCUCCUAACCAAAAAUUUCCAUUCUUGCACAAUAUAUUUCUCAUUUCUAACCACCUGUUUUUAAAGUCUUUGUUUGCCAUUUUAUUAUUUUAGUAAUAAUAAAAUCUAAUGAUUAACAACAACAAUAACAAUAAUGAGAUGAUUAGAAUGAAAGCUAAUAAUAAGUAAAGAAGAAUACCAGAGCAAGCCGGAGAACCACGCCGUCGAGGAGUGUCUGCACUCCAAUCUUUCCCAUGCCACACGUUUCUACUCUCACAAUUGUUUCCGUGAAUAAUUUUAACAAAGAAAUCCCCAUAACCCCAUAUGUGCUCAGAAAUGUUUUCAAAAUUCUUGAAUAGAGAGUCAUUGUCCAAUAAAAAGAUCGGUUCUAGAGAAUAACAACUUACAAUCUCAAAUAGUUUGAAAACCAUGCCAACAAGAUAUAAGAUAUCUCUAAAUAUGAGAGUUCAUAUCUAUAUAUUAGAAGAAGUUUAGGGGGGUAUUUAUACUACAUUGGGCGAUAAAAUCAAUACGGAGACUACACUUUGUUAGGUUACAGACAAGACUCUUACUGGUUUCACGUGAAAAUGCAUCAAUUAAGAAAAAUUGACAGGUAAUGACAUUAAUUAGGUUCAAAGAAUGUUUAGUUUACACUAGAGGAAUAUAAUUUGUUUUAUAAAAGAAAUUUCACUUAUUUCUCGUGGAUGUCAGAGAACAGUCAAAAAUAAGUUAAUAAAAUUUAAAAUUAGAAAUAGUGCGAUUUCCUAAGCUAACAUAAGAAAAUCACUAACUGCCAUUGCCCAAUAUUAUUUGGCCUAGCGGCAUAGUCUUUCAUUAGUAAGUGGGAGGUUGUGAGUUUGACUCACACAGUUGUAAUAUUUGAGUUGUUUACCUGAUAAAAAAAAUCACUAACUUCAUUUCAAUGACACAGAGUUGGAGACAGUAAACGUCUAAGUUGAAAUAAAUAUCUAGUAAAACUAGAAUAUAUUGAAUAAGUUUUCGUAAUUACACAAAGUAACAGAGGAAAUACAUGUAUAAGCAACAAAAAGAACCUAGCAAAUGACAUAAUGAUUUGUUGAAAUACAUACAUAUAUAUAUAUAUAUAUAUAUAUAUUUUCUGUGAGUGUUAAAACCAAAUGCAUCUAGCUAUUAUAUAAAUCAUAAAGAUAGUUGUUUUAUGACACAUAUUAUUGAAGUUUUGACAGCACGGGUACCCCAACUCUUGUGGCAUAAUUAAAGUGGUACCCAGACUUUAAAAACUAUCAAUGUGAUACCCAAACUUUGUUUUUGCUAUCAAGGAAAUGCCCACGGCCAAUUUCCGUCACGGUGUCGUAUGUUUGCUGACGUGACCAGCAUCGGGUCCAUAAAAAAAAGGCAAAAACGACAUUUUACACAGACGACACCCUAAUCGAGUCAAAACUCGACCUCCCCCCUUUCCGCCCCUCCCCUCCCUUAAUCAACUAAAAUCACAAUAAACCUAUGGUGGAAGGCCAGAGAAACGAAGGAGAGAAGGUGGUUGCCUCUCCGAUCCCCCCUCCUUAUCAACUAAAAUCACAAUUAACCUGUGGUGGAAGGUCAGAGAAAAGAAGGAGAGAAGGUGGUUGCCUCUCCGAUUGGGUUUCCGAUCUGGGUCAUGGCGGUAAGUGAAACUGGUAUUGGUAGCUUCAUCUCGCCAUCCCCGUUAUGUAUCUGGUGUCAGUUUCUUCGGAUGAGCCUCCAUGAGUGAGAAUCAAUUGAGUGACGCUUAAGGAGUUUUCCGGUGAGUUUCUGCAUUUUACAGCGAAUCGAGGUUCGACUCAUGUAUAAAAAUUGGUCUGUUCUUCAAUCUCUACCUUUCUGUAUAAUCGAAUUUGAGUAUGGAUUGAGUGUUGGAAGGGUUGGAAUUUUAGGUAGUAGGCAUCAUCGUGAGUUCUGCCGUGUACGACGAAGGUGGUGACGUUUUGAUCUUUGUUUAGUGAUUUCUAGUUUAAGUGAAUCUCUUAGCAUGAUUUUGAUUGUUAGAUGCAUUGGAUUAUUGAUUCUUUUUCGGCCUUUCUUUCUUAUGUUUUUUUUUCUUAAAAAACUCUGCGGAAGAAUGGUAGAGCUUGCAUAUCAUAAGUAGCCAUCUUCGUUCAAUUAAAAAAUCAGUUAUGUUGUUUGUGUAGUGAUAUUGGUUGUUUUUUUUAUCUUUUCAAUUUGAGAAAUUUUAAAUACACAUCUCUAAUCUCUUAAUACACACCCUUAUAUAUUAUUUUAUAUUUGACAUUAGAUUUUAUAGGUAUGUUUAAUUAUAAAAACAUCCAUCAAUUAUUAGGAAAAAAAAAAAAAAACUUUCUACCUCCCUAAAACCUACACUAGUAGGAUGGCCGACUUAAGAGACGAAACAAUUUCGAAGCAUAAGAGUCAAUUUUCGUCGCAUAUAUACCUAUGACACGACAAGUCGGUCGCAUAAGAGUCGUCGCAUAAGUAGUGUCGCAUAAGAAUCUAUGCGACGAAAAAAACAUAUUCGUCGCUACACUCUAUAUAAUGCGACGAAGAAAUCAUUGUCGCACAGAAAAGAAGCGACGACACUGGUGUCCACUUAUACGACGAAUCUCGUCGCAUAAGUACUGUUCCGACGAAAUGAUUUUCGUCGUUAGUAAUUCUAUCCUGACGAAACAUGGGUGCAAUUGCCAACGAAAGGAUGGUUCACUUAUGCGACGAAAAUAUACGUUUUCGUCGCAUAAGUCUGUUCACUGAGGCCAGUUUUAUUUGCUUUUUCCUUAUCCUCCCUGUUUCACUAUCAUCAUCAUCAUCAUCUACAGAAACUAUAAAAGUGCAAAUUUAGCAAACAAUAAAUUUUCAUAUAUGCAUAAUUUGUUCAUACAAAGUCUUUACUCUUUAGUAAUACCUUGAAUUGCAACUAAACAAAACCAUUCAUUCAUCCUAGCUUAGCUAGCCUAUCCUAUCCUUCUCCAACUGAACAAAACCAACUGCACAAACCUAGCUUAAAGGCUUCUCCAUCUAAACAAAACCAACUGCACAACAACCUAACCAAAGGUUUCUCCAUCUAAACAAAACCAAAAUAGUGAAGAACGCAGUGAUGUACCUAGCUAGUUCCUCUCAACUGCAUCAACAUUUUCUUCUAGAGGUUGUUGGGAAGGGACUGGUGGAGGACACCCAGUCUGCUGCGCCAUAAAAGACAUCACUGCUGCUAGUUGCUGCUUCACCAAUGUCAUCUCUUCACUAACUUUUUGCGCAACCGCCUCAGCUUUUUCGGCCCUCUCUUCAGCAAUAUGUAAUCUCUCCUCCACCUCAUGAACUCGAGAACGUGGAGUGGAAGAUGAUAACUGUCGGACACCUGCUCUUCCAAGACCACAGAUCUCUUUCCCGGCUCUUCUGCCGACUCCUGCUUCAAGCACCUUAAGAUUCAUUGACCACUCCAAAGGUGGGAGCUCAGCCUCCGGGAUGUCAGGGUUUGCAUUCUUCUGUGCAUUUUUCAAUUCAGUUGCCUCUUUCUGCAUUUCCUCCUGCAGAUAAGAGAUAAGAGAUAAGCUUGUAAUUAGAUUUGGAAUUUAAAUUCAUAUUGCAGUUGAAAAACAAUUAAAGGUAAGCAGUGAAGAAAAAUAAGUUGGAGAAUGAUGGAACUGUUAUGAAUCCGCUACAUAUUGCAGGCAUGUAAAUGUACUAAAUGAAGAAUUGAACUUAGAGACAAGCAAUGUUUUUCAGAACAUAACAAUAGUGCUUGUGUCAUGAAACUUAGCAGGAUAUACAGCUUCAUCUAAAAAGGAAGCAACUAGCUGAUCUACUUAAUCACAUGCAUGCAUGAUUUGUUAGAGUGAUCCAAAUGCGUGGGAGUAGCUGAAUGAGUGUUUGUUAACUUGGGAAUUUGGGGAGCUGGAGUUGAAGCUAGUUCGCCUCCCCUUGAGAGAGAAAUGGAAACUUAAGCCCUCGUAAAGUUUAGAAACCAUUUUCCUGAUCAAUGCAGAGAAAAAUCUUUCUAGCUAGAAGAGGAUCAAUAAUAUUAUUCACAUAUAUAUGCAUCAUAUUUCAUGGCAGGACUACUAGACAGGACUGUCAAUAAGAGUAUGGCUUGAGAUAUUGGUUGAGGUGAGCAUAUAUUCCUCUCUUUACUAGUUUACUUUACUAGUGAUAUGAAACUUAGCAUAANNNNNNNNNNNNNNNNNNNNGCGGACAAUAUCGUGUUACGGCGGAAUGGGUCCUGGGAUGUGACAAAUGGUAUCAGAGCCACUCUGUCGUGUGGUGCGAGUGUGCCGACGAGGGCGUCGGACUCCCAAGGGGGUGGAUUGUAAUAUCCCACAUCGGCCAAACGGAGAGGGGUUAUGUGCUGUAUAUGUACAUGCCCACCUCCAAUCUAACACGAGGUCUUUUGGUGGCACAGCGGUUUCGGAGGGGAUGGGUACUCCGAGGUUAAGCAUGUUGAUGCGAGAGCAAUCCCAGGAUGGGUGACCUACUGGGAAGUUGCUCCUGAGCUGCCGGAAACAAAACCAUGAGGGCCGGUGGGCCAAAAGCGGACAAUAUCGGGUUACGUCGGAAUGGGUCUUGGGAUGUGACAAUAUUAGCAAUCAAACUCCAAUUUUCUCAAACCAUAAUCAACACAGCAGCAACCCAAACAACUCUAUAAGCAAGAAGAUUACCUUCAGAAGACAACAAAGCCUCUCUUGCCGGCGGUAGCUCUCUUGCCGGAUUCCGGGUUCGUGGUUCCUCCCACAGAGCAGCGGCAACACCUCAAGUCUUCACAACCGAUCGUCUUGGCCUGUUGCUGCUUAGCAGGUUGUUAGGAAGGAGACAAGAGGUACCAUGAAGCUUCAUCAGCUCCAGCAAAACCCGAAACACUUGCCGGAAACCAUUAAACGCUGGCCGUCGGAGCUAGGAGCUCGAAACUCAGUAAAGAGAAGAAAGGGGUUUCCAAAUUAGGGUCUGAUUCGCACAUUCAAGGACGUAGAAAGGAAGAGGAAAGUGAGAAGAACAAGAAUAUACCCUUCAAAGUCGUCGUCCCUGUCGGAGCUCGCCGAAAAUCGGCAACAACAGUGAAGCACCCAAGCUUUCGAUCUCCAUCGAUCUUGGUUGCACGCGUGAUCUACGAGCUGGGCUAGAAAGGAAAGGAGGAGAGGAAGAGAACGACGGUGAUCUUUUUUCCUGGGGUGGCCGGACGGCGGCGCUCCGGCGUAGAGAGAGAGAGAGAGAGAGAGAGAGAGAGAGAGAGAGAGAGAGAGUCGGUUAGGCUCGGUCAAACCUGACUUGGGUUCUUUGACUGGGUCUGACCAGUCUUCCUCUGUUUAACAUCUUCCUCUAAUUAACUACAGAAAUGGACAGCAGAUGAUCAAUGAUUAAAGAUCAACGACCCAUAUUCUUUGAUAAAUCGUAGAAAAUAGCCCGAAGCUUCCAAAAAUAAUCCGAGGACAUCAGAGAACUCGUGUCGACGUGCACUACGACCUAGAAGCCUUAAAAGAAGAAUUAAACAGUUUGAGAAAAACUCGACAAUAAACUCGAGUGUUAAAUUACUAAAUUACUGAGCACCGUUCAAUUCCUCAGUAACUCGUGGAAUACCUAGUAAAUAGGUAAAAUUGGGUCCGGGAUGUUACAAUCUCCCCUCCUUAUAAAAAUUUCGUCCUUGAAAUUUCAAACUGAAAGAGCCAAGGCCAACAAUCAUUGAUCGACAACAUACUACCCUUUGUUUCGCUAAGAAACUUAAUGGCUCGACUAUGCCCAUCUAAAUGCAGCGUCGACAUAAAUAAAACACUGGACUCUGCUUCUCUAAUCUCUCGCUCGACGCGAGUAGAACCUUUUUCAGAGACUACUCUGAAUCUUCAUUGAUUUACGAACUCCCGCUAACAAGAAGCAUUUCUCCCCUAUGACUACAAAUCUAUAACAUACCACGAACAUUCUUUGAAAAUAGAUCCACGGUGCCUAGGCCAAAAAUAUAAAUACCAAAAGAAAAGCUCACGCUUUUCCAUGCAAUGCAAAAUAGCUAACACACUCGAAGAGCAGAAUUCGAUUUCAGUGCUAGCCAAAAAUCUUCUCACAACACGUAACAAACUCGACAAUACAAUGCAUCCGAGUUUGACAUCAAAGCGCACUUGCUAAGAAGCUAAAAUUCAUGCAUUCAUACAUGUUCAUAGCUACCUGAAAUCCUGCUAAUUGAACAGAUUCCUACACCGCCAAAAUCUGCAGUAACCACCCUUCUAAUAACGUGGUACUUGUAGAGUCAAAGCUCACACUGCCUAAGCAAUUAGUUCAAACAAGAGUUUAACCCCAAUUACCUGAAUCAAAUCAUGUAGUGGUCAAUAACUGCAUCACUUAGGUCUCUUCUGAUUUUGCUAUCUCCACUAUUCUCUUUACUACAAACCAGAAGAUGAUGUGAAGCAUGACUAUCAUGUGGAAAUUGGAUAUCCCUCCUUGUUCGUCAUAAACAAAACUGACUAAAAUGCCCACGAAAAUUGGCAUAGUCAAUUCAUGAUGCUAGCCUUGACGUUGAAAUCCACAUAAAUAGAACACUUCCCUUAGGCAUAAGCAAAGUAUACCUCUUUCACCGCGACAAUAACUCCAAUUGCUAAAAAUUAUACAUCCCACUUUGGCCAUCAAAUAAGAAAAAUUCUAAUUGCCAAAACCUCUGAACCUGACAAACAUAAUUCUUCCUACCUCCAUUAACAAUUAAUCUGACAGCAAAACACGAUAAGAAAAUCAGAUAUGCUUAAAUCUCCUACACCUCCCAGGCGCCACAGCUUCCCACCAAAAAAGAUCCUCUUCUAAACCGAGCUAGUGGCACCACGCGAACUAUCGAAUGAAAAGAUUAAUUUCCAUACAAGGCCCACUACUUCACUUUGUGGUUCACCAACUAACGAAAACUAUAUAUGCAAGAAAAACCAAGACUCAUGGCUAAAAUCAACUCACGCUCCAAAAGAAGUAAUUUAAAGCAUAUGAAGGAUAAGUCCCCCAACUUCGAGCUUAAAAGCUUUAUUACUAACCCGUUUUGAAGACGAACUAGAAACCAAAAUUUAAUAGAGUGGUUUCAACUACUCACCCUGACAUCAACGGAUGAACACACAUCCAGAUAGCGAUGACCUUCCAAAUCAAACCUGGAUUAGCAAGUGGGCCCACCUCAAUACGAUCUCGAGAAAAGAUGUCGCUCAACUUACCAAUACCUCUACUAUCCACAACAUUGAAACUCUUAAUAGACAUUGACUCCAAAAGCUUCUUAAGUCAACAAGGAAAACCCUCUCCCCCUAAGGCGACAUCAAAAAUCAUACUUACAACGUUACACCUACCUUUUGAUUAACAUAUCAAUGUGAAUCUUAGACUACCACAUAGAACUUACGACUCCAUGAUCAAUCGCUUAAUCAAACUUCGAUUCACUUAGGAUCAUCACUGGAUUAUCAAUGAUCCAUGUCUAUGACACAACAUCCUAUUCAUCAUUUACUUUGAAAAUUCGACCACUAACAAGAAACUCUAACCUUCAAAUCGUAGAGUUUGAAUUCGCACUCCAUAAUUUCAAGCUCUGAGGAUGCUACUCAAAAACCACAGUAGGAAUAAUUUAUAUAUUCCCAAACACACCACAACCAAAACUCUGCUCCACCUCACUGAAUUAGAAAUAAGGUGGGUGAACAGAUCCUCCCAUUGAUAUGUCGUAGUUAGUCACCAAUUGUUAACGAAGUGAUGACACAAACAAUUCGAUCACAAAUUCAAGACUUGUUUCAACUAUUCGGAACGACACUGCUUAAAGAUACUAUGGACACCCAUGCCCUUUUGAUCCAUGAUUCAAUGGGCUUUAUUCCACAGCUGCCACUUCCACCAACUCCAUGCAACUGAAUUAGAAUAAACAAGACAAUGCGAGUUAAGUUCACCAUCGGUUUUCGUAAAGCCGAAGUGACCACAACCAUCUCGCUCUCACUCCACCAUGACGUUUCAAUUCCCUUACAUUCACCAUCUACCCUAAAACACCCAACAAAUCUGGAAACCAAACUUCAACACCUAGAAAUCUGAAAGAAUCCAUAAUGGCUCCACGAUUGAAAUACUACAACCGACAGUCGUCACUCAAUGAUUCCAAGCUUACUUGAAAAUUCAAAACAUUCAAUGACACCAAUCAAUUUCUAAAAUUCUUUGACUGCGACACAACAAUAAGCUUUUCACGAACGCUAUGCUCAAUUGACUCUUGUAAGGCCAACAAUCCAAGGAAAAUAAUCUUGGACUCUUAUACCUAACGCCUCAGCCAGCUUCAGCUAAACCACAAAAUAGACGAAAGUCACCCAAAACUCUUACUAUUCAUCGACUGCUAUUAACCUCCUUCUCCAAAAUGCUCUUAUUGAACUCUUUAAUAUGAUGAUUCCAAGGAUAAGAACAUAUCCUUGAUUGGAGCUGUAUGGCCAGAACAUGCGCUACCAUAACAAGCAUUAACCAAAAUAAUCCCAACUGACUUUCUCUGCGGACAAGGCAGUUGGAAAUUUGGUCAUCAAUCAAGACUUCUCUAAAUUGAUAGCCUUUUUAUUAGCCACAAAUCCCCCGUGACUAAUUAGCCCAAACUUAGAGUCCUCAACAACUCGUAUAGGUACCUCUUUGAAUUACUCUGGGUACCUCACCACAUCACUUCAUCCAUCCUUUACAUCUAUAGAAAUACAUCACUACUUCGGACUUUCGUUCCAACUCUUUGUUCCCAAAAGUCACGAAACUCGAUACCAAGAUCUUCCAUCAGACUACUACAACUCUAUACUUGAUCACCAUAAAUAAAUAAAUAAAUAAAUAAAUUCCAAAGCAUGAAUCAAACAUUUCGCCUACUACAUAUUUAUGCAAGUUGUCCAACCUAGCAUCUUAAUCAUUACCCAAUCAAUCAUUGAAUACACGAAAGGAGUGCUAUCAAGCUUUUAAGUUCCCCACUCGCAAUUCAACUCCAACAUCAAUAUCAUAGAUAUUAAAUUAAAGAUCUUUGGAAUAGGUGCAAUCUAUACACCUUUUCAAUACUCAAAGGAUGAUCACUCAAGAGAUCGGCGUACGGAGGCAUAGUCUUAGAGAUGUAGCGACAUUUAUGGCACAAUACUGUCCAUAAAUAAAAUAAGAACAACUACAUCACAAACCUAAUCAACACAUAGUGUCUAAAGCAUAUAAUGUUAAUAGACCCGCCGCGGUCGGAUCAUCACUCUAUAUACAUUAAGUAUGACCAAGAAUAUGAAGUAGUACUAAAAAGAGAAAGGAAUCGAAUAACCUAAUGCUUUGAUACCAACUGUCAGGACCCACCCUGAAUUUCACCUUGAAACCCGAAGUAAAUCCUGCGGGGACCACCUUGAAGGAAAGUUUACCGAAAAUUCAGCAUAACCUCCUUUGAAAAUGGACAAUCCUUCCUAAUAAUACCUGUAAACACUUCUGAAAAUCUAAAUCCAACCUUCAACUCCUGGAGCAUUCGUGCUCCCCAAAUCACAACACCUCCCAACUUAUUCACUAAUCUAAAUAUAAUCCCAAAUCAAACAAUUCAUUGGUUUAGAGCAACUCUAAAAGGAAUAAAAGAGACAGAAAAAUAAAUAAGCGAAAGCUAUAAUACGAACUAUGCCUCGACUCCAAGUACGCCCGACCUCAACUAAGCUAACCUGCAAACUGGGCAUUUUUAAAACGAAGGGCCUAGGGGAAAACAUUUGAAACCGUUAGAGUGAGUGGACAAAACUGAAUUCAAUAAAAAUAUUUAUGCAUUCCCAUUUAUUUUCCAUAGAAAUUAUGCUGCAUGCAACAAGCUCAAAAUCUCUCAACUCAUAAACUGACAAUAACACGACUAGCUCUUGCUAGUCUCCAAAGCUUUAUAAAAUAGAGUCUCUCAGGCUAAAAUAUAUGUAUGUAUUUACACACGUCCAUACUCUCUAUAUAAAUUCAUGGGUUUAUAUAGGGCUACUACGCUCGCGUCCAACGCUCACGUCACGCCUUAAUGCGGUGCUACACUACGCCAUUAANNNNNNNNNNNNNNNNNNNNAAUUAUUUAAUUGCACCAACUGAAAUUAUUUGCAAAAUAUAUGUAAGCUAUUUGCACCAGAUUUAAUUAACUUACAAGAUUCUUGGCAGCUUUAGGGUCGUUGACUGUGUCAUACGUCUCUGUGUAAGCUGGGAUAACAGGAAAUUCCUUAC
rnacentral:lncRNA from 1 species